CCCCUCUCAGGGUUGCACCUGAAGAGUUUCUGGUACUCUACGAGUCUUGACUAUGGGAGGGAGAGUCAAGCAGAGGCCUACUUCCAUUCCUAGCUUGGGCAGUGGCUAGUGAGUGGAAGGCAAUCUGCUACAAUU